CAAGUACUCCCUCCGUCCGGAAUUACUUGUCAUCAAAAUGGAUGAAAAUGAAUGUAUCUAGAACUAAAAUACAUCUAGAUACAUCCAUUUCAAUGACAAGUAUUUCCGGACGGAGGGAGUAGUAU
rnacentral:pre_miRNA from 1 species